rnacentral:snoRNA from 1 species
GCAACUUCUACCCAUUGGUUGGUCAAACUAGCAUUCAUCGUUGAUCCGACUAAGAUUCAAAGUUGCCAGAGAAAGGAAUGCAACUUACCAUGUAGAUGGGUCCUCAUGCCAUCGACAGAAGUAGAAGCAUUACA